rnacentral:rRNA from 1 species
CAGGCCUCACACAUGCAAGUCGAACGCACCUUCGGGUGAGUGGCAUACGGGUGAGUCACGCGUGGGCACGUGCCUUCUGGUUCGGAAUCACUCAGGGAAACUUGAGCUAAUACCGGAUACGCCCUUUUUGGGGAAAGGUUUACUGCCGGAAGAUCGGCCCGCGUCUGAUUAGCUAGUUGGUGGGGUAACGGCCUACCAAGGCGACGAUCAGUAGCUGGUCUGAGAGGAUGAUCAGCCACACUGGGACUGAGACACGGCCCAGACUCCUACGGGAGGCAGCAGUGGGGAAUAUUGGACAAUGGGCGCAAGCCUGAUCCAGCCAUGCCGCGUGAGUGAUGAAGGCCUUAGGGUUGUAAAGCUCUUUUAUCCGGGACGAUAAUGACGGUACCGGAGGAAUAAGCCCCGGCUAACUUCGUGCCAGCAGCCGCGGUAAU